UUAGAAAAUGAUCAAACUGGAAUAUAAGCUACGUGUUCUAAAAGUCUUAAUAGGGCACUAAUUUCCCAAGUUAUUGGGAAAGUAAUAACGUAGUGUAACAGAAACCAAUCAAAACAGACAAGGUUAGCAUUUUAAAAUUUUACUGCAUGUCUUACUUACUGAUGCUUUAUAACUGAGUGUCAGCAAGCAACAUGGCUGCAUUUUGAAGAUGCACUGGAAUUUAACAUAUCCACAUUUGGACAGAGCCCACAUGGUGAACAGCAGAAAUCAUGACCACCCACACUCUGCCAACAGCAACCUUUUAUUGGAGGGAUUUUUCAAGACUUCAAAGGUUUUGCUGUAUGUGUGAGGUGGUUCUAUAUUGAACAGUGAGAGGAUGUUGGUCAACACUGGAUGUCAGAAAGAAAGUAGCACUGACUUGGACAGGGUUCUCUAAUGGGAUGUGGCCAAGGAUGGUUUCAAUCAAAUCAUCAUGAAGCAAGACAUCUUGGAAAU